GUAAAGUGGUAUAACAGUACACCAUUAUACUUCCGUUAUACAUUCUAUUGUAUUCAUCUAUUUUAAAUAGGAGAGAGUUGGAAAAGAGAUCACUAAGAAGAUAGAUGAGUUUUUACAAACAGGAACACUCAAGAAGUUGGAAAAGAUUCGUAAUGAUGACACCAGCUCAUCCAUCAACUUCCUUACCAGAUUUACUGGUAUUGGUCCGGCUCCUGCCAGAAAGUGAAGACCCUGGAAGAUCUGAAGAAAAUUUAACACAUGCUCAAUCAUCAGUACUUUGAGGAGUUUGAGAAGAGGAUUCCACGAGUUGAGAUGAUUGUGGCGGACAUUCAUUUUGCAGGAGCUGGAGUUGCUGGAUGCUGAGUACAUCAGGACCAUCUGUGGAAGCUACAGGAGAAGUGCUGAAUCCAGUGGGGAUAUUGAGAUCUUGCUGACGCACCCAAACUACACCUCUAUGGAUGAGAAACAGGUGACCACCAAACUCCACAAUGCCUACUGCUGCUUUGGUACUGUAAUGAUUAAUAUACACUAAGCCCAAACUUCUCCAUGCUGUGGUUGAACAUUUUGAGUCCAUUGUGUUCAUUACAGACACACUGUCCAAAAAAUACACCAAAUUCAUGGGAGUCUGCCAGCUGCAGCAAAAUGAUGAAGAGGAAUAUCUUCACAGGCACAUUGAUAUCAGGUUAAUUCCUAAGGGCCUGUAUUACUGUGGUGUGCUGUAUUUCACUGUCAGUGACAUCUUCAAUAAGAACAUGAGAACUCCCGCUCUGGAGAAAGGCUUCACCCUCAAUGAGUACACCAUCUAGCCAGUGAAGGU